rnacentral:tRNA from 1 species
GAGGUUGUAGCUUAGUAGUACAGUGCUUGCCUAGCAUGUAUGAGGCACUGGGUUCAAUCCUCAGCACCACA